GUGCAAAAGAAAUUCCUAAUGACAGAAGGGAAAGAUAUAUACCUUCCCCUAUUGCGUAAUCUCUCCUGUCUCGCUCUCUUCUCCACUUUACAUACGGAUUCUUCUACAUACUUCUAUUCUCUUCCUCUCUUUUUUCUUCCUUCUAGGUUAAUAUACUCAAACAUUGAUGGCGGAGGAGCCGUCGCCGAAUCACAGACGCAGCACUUCUUCCGCUAGUUCCGGUGAGGUUCCCGUCUAUCACGACAUCGAGAUCGUCGAUUCUGAUUCUAGUGCCGCGCCGCCUUCAGUCCCUAUUGAUGGGAGCUUGCCCAGAGAGAAUUCGUCAAGGGAAGCAUCAAUUGCUGGAGUAUCUGAUUCUGGUUCCAGACAGCUUAGUGAACCUGGGAAGUUCAGAAAGAGGGAUAAACUAGGCACUUGGACAGCAAAGCUUUUUGAUGAAAGAAUUUCUUUUAAGAAGAAGCUCAAAUGGUUAAAUCGUUUUGCCACUGUUAAAGAUGAUGGAACUGUACAAUUCGAGGUUCCAGGAGAUAUAAAGCCUCAGAAUCUUGAUUUUGGAACCGGAGUUGUCUACGAUGAAGAAACUGACCAAGAAGCUGUUGGCUCAGCUGAUGUUCCAGAUAUACCUCCUUUGCAAAUAGUGAUGCUUAUAGUUGGAACACGAGGAGAUGUGCAACCAUUUGUUGCCAUUGGAAAACGCUUUCAGGAAUAUGGUCAUAGGGUUAGACUUGCAACUCACUCAAAUUUCAAGGAGUUUGUCUUGACUGCUGGAUUGGAGUUUUUCCCUUUAGGUGGAGAUCCAAAAGUUCUUGCUGGCUAUAUGGUUAAAAAUAAAGGCUUCUUGCCAUCUGCGCCCUCUGACAUACCUACUCAAAGGCAACAAAUAAGAGAGAUCAUAUUCUCUUUACUUCCUGCUUGCAAGGACCCUGAUCCUGAUUCGGGUAUCCCUUUUAAAACAGAUGCAAUAAUCGCCAAUCCCCCAGCAUAUGGGCAUACUCAUGUUGCAGAGGCAUUAAAAGUACCGCUUCAUAUAUUUUUCACGAUGCCAUGGACGCCUACUAGUGAGUUUCCACAUCCUCUAUCUCGUGUUAAGCAGCAAGUUGCCCAUAGGUUAUCCUAUCAAAUAGUCGAUGCAUUGAUUUGGCUUGGAAUACGAGACAUAAUAAAUGAGUUCAGGAAGAAACAGUUGAAGCUAAGACCUGUCACAUAUUUAAGUGGGUACUAUAGCUCUCCACCAGAUGUGCCUUACGGAUAUAUUUGGAGUCCUCACCUUGUCCCAAAACCGAAAGACUGGGGACCUAAAAUUGAUGUUGUUGGGUUUUGUUUCCUCGACCUUGCUUCAAAUUAUGAACCUCCAGAUACACUUGUAAAAUGGCUAGAAGGAGGUGAACCGCCCAUCUAUGUUGGUUUUGGUAGCCUGCCCUUAGAGGAACCAGAGAAAAUGACCCAGAUUAUAGUGGAAGCUCUUCAUGUAACUGGCCAGAGAGGCAUCAUAAACAAAGGCUGGGGUGGUCUGGGGAAUUUGGCAGAACCAAAGGACUUUGUAUACUUUUUGGAUAAUUGCCCCCAUGACUGGCUAUUUUUAAGAUGCAAGGCAGUGGUGCAUCACGGGGGUGCUGGAACAACUGCUGCUGGUCUUAAAGCCGCUUGUCCAACAACCAUUAUUCCUUUCUUUGGGGACCAGCCCUUUUGGGGAGAACGGGUGCAUGCCAAAGGGCUAGGGCCAGCACCAAUCCCAGUUGAAGAGUUCUCACUUGAAAAGUUGGUUAAUGCAAUACACUUCAUGGUGGAUGAGAAGGUGAAAGAGCGUUGCAUUCAAUUGGCCAAGGCUAUGGAAAAUGAAGAUGGGGUGGAAGGUUCAGUUAAAGCGUUUUAUAAACAUUUUCCUAGAAAAAAACCAGAGACUGAACCUGAGCCAUCACCUUCGCCGAAGUUCUUUUCCAUUCGAAGCUGUUUUGGUCAUUCCCGUAAUUUGUGAGUUUUAAGGCCGACCGUCGGUCAUCUUGACCUCUCUUUAUCGUAUAUGGUCACAUAGCUGGUCAUCAUUUUUGCAAGUUUUCAAUGAGUGUAAAAAGCAGGUCCGAAUAUGGAUUUAUUGCCUCACAUAAUUGUAUUUGAUUCCACUUUGCAGAUGAAAUUUGGGUUUUAUAUAUGUAAAAAUGUGAAAAGCAGGUCCAAAUAUGAUUUUAUUGCCUUAUAUCUAGGUAUUGGAUUCCACUUUGCUAUUAAGGACUCCUUCGAGAGUAUUUUGCCCGAGUAUAUUAUCAGCAAUUCAUCACUGUACGGAAGU